AUACGGAAGGUCCGGGCGUUAUCCGGAUUUAUUGGGUUUAAAGGGAGCGCAGGCGGAGAUGCAAGCGUGACGUCAAAUUUCGGGGCUCAACCCCGUCUCGCGUCGCGAACUGCGUCCCUUGGUUGCGGGAAGGGGAGGCGGAACUCGUGGUGUAGCGGUGAAAUGCAUAGAUAUCACGAAGAACUCCGAUCGCGAAGGCAGCCUUCCGGCCCGUCAACGACGCUCAUGCUCGAAGGUGCGGGUAUCAAACAGGAUUGGAUACCCUGGUAGUCCGCACAGUAAACGAUGGACACCCGCGGUUUGGCCUGUAUGGCUGAGCCGCCAAGCGAAAGCGUUAAGUGUCCCACCUGGGGAGUACGCCGGCAACGGUGAAACUCAAAUGAAUUGACGGGG
rnacentral:rRNA from 1 species